UACAGAGGUCUCAAGCGUUGUUCGGAUUCAUUGGGCGUAAAGGGUGUGUAGGUGGCGCGCUAAGUCGGGUGUGAAAUUUCGGAGCUUAACUCCGAAACUGCAUUCGAUACUGCCGUGCUUGAGGACUGGAGAGGAGACUGGAAUUUACGGUGUAGCGGUGAAAUGCGCAGAUAUCAGGAGGAACACCGGUGGCGAAGGCGGGUCUCUGGGCCGAUACUGACGCUGAGGAGCGAAAGCGUGGGAGCGAACAGG
rnacentral:rRNA from 1 species